rnacentral:rRNA from 1 species
UACAGAGGUCUCAAGCGUUGUUCGGAGUUACUGGGCGUAAAGGGUGCGUAGGCGGCUUUUUAAGUUUGGUGUGAAAUCUCCCGGCUCAACUGGGAGGGUGCGCCGAAUACUGAGAGGCUAGAGUGCGGGAGAGGAAAGUGGAAUUCCUGGUGUAGCGGUGAAAUGCGUAGAUAUCAGGAGGAACACCGGUGGUGUAAACGGCUUUCUGGACCGUAGCUGACGCUGAGACACGAAAGCGUGGGUAGCAAACAGG